UAUUUUAAGAACAUAAAAAAAACCUCACUGUUGCCAAACCUUUGAAAGGUAGUAACAAAAAUGUCUUAAUGAAUGAUUAAAUAAAGAAUAACCUGUUAUAAAUUGUUCACAAUACGACAUGAAACAUUAAGAAUGUUAAAAUUAUAGGGUCAGUUUUGCUUUCAUGUUUACUUUACAUCACUUCAUGGUUUCUGCUAUACAUUGUACUUGGAAACACACACACACACAAACACACAGAUAGAUUUGGGGAACAGCAGGAUUAGGACACUUGGGUGGUUGCUUUCUUUCGCGGAGGCACAGUUAGUCUCACAACCAAUCAGGGCACUUGAUUCCUCCGGUAUUUGCAUUGUCUGCUCUAUGACAUCACCAGGGCGCUCGCAUACCUGUGCUGUCAUUGGCUGGUUAUGCCAAAUCUGCUGACCAGCUGCAAAGAUCACAGCCGGUGACAUCAUCAGCCAGCUCAACCAAUAAUGGGGACACUUACAAAGAAAAGAAAGCAACCUACUCAAUACUACUAAUCCUCUCUCGCUCUCCCACUCUCUCUCACACACACACACUUACAGGGUUAAAGUGUUGGAUACACCACCCACAGAAAAAAUAUACUUGUGUGAAUUCUUAAAGGAACAGUUCACUUCAAAAUGAAACGUUCAGACAGCAGAGAGAAUGAUGAAGAUGCCGCAGGAAUGCAGGACUGUGCUGCAGACUGUGAUGGUGGAGCGCUGUAUUUAUGUGGCUGUCCUUAUCAGUAACUCUGGAGAUAAACGCAGUCUGCUGACCACAGCCACAACAGGAACUGCGACUCACAGCGUGACCUGCAGCAAUAAAAUCAAUAUCAACAUGAACGAGCAGAAAGCGAGAAAUGGAAAGAGUCUGUCAGCACCCACUCAGUGUUAAUUCCUCAUCAUUCAACUCCAACAGAAACACCACAGCAGCUCCGGCAUCUGCUACGCCCAGAGUUUGUGUCUGCAAGGUGGCAUGCUGCCAGAUCUCACAGCUGCCAGAGAGAGAGACAUAGAAAAAGGGGGGAAAUAAACCACUGCACAACUGGAAUGCAGUCAACAGUCAGUCUCAGGCGUCUGUGACGUCACAAUCAGGCAUCUGCAUCGCUGCUGCGAGAAACCUUCACCCUGAUCACUCUUUUCAAUGUAAACACUGCACAUCCCGAGUCACUAUAUCAAUACCCAAAACGCGAGAGACCUCAAAAGUUCAAAACUCAUUUUACACUCUCAAAGAAGGUAGAAUAUCUUCUUCAUUGUCAUUUUGAGUAGCAGCUCCAGCUUUUAGUAUGCUGAGUCCACGUUGCAUCUUAUUCUGGUCUUUAAUCUAUAUAUGGCUUAUUUAUAAUUAAAUCGUUAGCUGGAAUUAAAAAAAAAAAAAAAAAGUAUUUUGCAGGCUGCAAAAAAUAUUUCAGUGUCUCAGAAUGACUUGGUUCAUUUACUUUUUUUUUAUAUAGAUGCACUCGAACAAAAUCACCCCACUUUUUCUAGAAAAAAGAAAAAAAAAAACUUUCCAAAUUUAUUCAAGUCAUCUAGUAAAAAUUCCUGUAUUUUUUCCUAUUGCAAUACAUACUGUGGAAAAACUAAAUAUUGCAAGUCAGUUUUUUCUUCCAAUCUCAUGCAGCCCUACGUCACUUUAAAAGUUUGCAAAUCUUGCCCAAGAUAUUUGCAUCAUUCCAAACGUAAGAGAAACAGUGUAGACGUUUUUCCCAUACACCUACGAGUCUUUGUAAACUUCUGUGGUGACGUGCAGUGAGUAAAAAUGAAAAUAAAUCAAUGAAGGAAUGUAUGAAGGCCACUAUCUUUCUCUCUGCAUCCAUCUAGGGUCUGGAAGUGAAGUGUAGUGGAAAAUCUUCCCUCUGUGUGCCUCCAGUGCUGUGUGUGUGGUGUGAUGUAUGUCGGUGUUGUUAUGACAGCUCUUACAGAUGUACAUGCGCCACUUUUUCAUACAACAACACUUCAUAGUGAGCACGUCCUGUCAGGCUUGGUGAACUACUUUUAUGGAGUUUUCAGUCCUUGUUUGACAGUGACUGGUAACUGUGCACUGUCACUAAAUAAAAUUAAGAAGAGUGUAUAUUCCUUAUAAAAAAAGUCUCCUUUUUGAGUGUAAGGUUUUGGAAGGGCAUGAAGGUAAGUGAUCAGAUUUUUAAAAUUAUUCUUUUAACUGUGUAUUUCAAAACAUUACCUGUUCUGACUGCUUUUGGUAAUGAAUUUACUAUGAUAACUUAUUUCCGAAGUGAAGUGAAGUGAAGUGAAGUGAAGUGAAGUGAAGUGAAGUGAAGUGAAGUGAAGUGUGGCUGAGUAUGGUGACCCAUACUUGGAAUUUGUGCUCUGCAUUUAACUCAUCCAAGUGCACACACACAGUAGUGAACACACACCUGAAGCAGUGGGCAGUGGAAUGAAUGAAUGAAUGAGUGAAUGAAUGAAUGAAUGAGCUACAUACAUAAAAGAAAGGUAAUUAAACUUUUUAUCUAACAAUUUAGAUUUUUCAUCCCCUCAGAAUUGUUUAGUUUAUGUUUUACAGUUGUAUUAUAUACUUUUGUUUCUAAGUAUUUAUAAGUUUACAUAUUAGGUAUGAAACUUAUUUCAUUAGAUAUAAGUUAACAGAUCCAAAACAUAGUUUUCAUUUCCAAAACCUCAGAUUCAUUCCUACAGCAUUCUAUAGGGCCGUAUAGACCCAGUUCCAAUAGUUUGUUGUUUGCAUGUUACUAAGCUAUAGCAGAGACAAAUAUUAGGUCAGAUAUACUUCUAUCAGUUUAUUUUAAUUUAAUUUUCAGUUCAUCUUCCGUUAGUGUAGGUGCUUGGCUCAAUGCAUUGUGGAAUCACAUUUUGCUGGAACAGAACUCAUGUUUUCUUAGGCUUGAUGUGUUGAACAGAAUGUACAACAGUAAAUAAUUGAGUGUGCAACACAUUCUUUAAUAAGUACAGCAAUGAGUAUUUUACUAAUCUGUCAAGUUCCUUAUCACUGCAUAAACAAGCCUUACCCUUUUUCAAAAGGAAUAUGUUCACAGCUGUUCAGAUCCUUUAUUAACACAAAGUGAAAAUAUCAGAUGAAUUGGUCUGAGUUGUUUCAUAUAAUUAAGUAUUUCAGGCCAAGUGUUGGAUAUAAUUUUGAUAAAAUCUACGGCCAUUCUUAGACAAAUGUUUCCGGCAUGCUGAAACUCAACAUAGCCCUGCAAUAAAUUUUGAGGGGAGAAAUUUAUUGUUAUGUUGAGUUUCUGUUGAACUCUAUAUGUAAAAUGAUGAUAAAAUAAAUCUUUCAUCUGCCUUGAAAAAUACACAAAGGAGCAGAAAACACACACACACACACACACACACACACACACACACAAGGGCUUUCGUAUUGAUUGCUUUAUUAGCCCUAUUUUCCUAAUGAGAAAAUCUUUUCCCCCAUUAGAAUUUUAUUAAAAAGGCCUUUAAUUUACAUUUAUGAAUUGAUAUACUUUGUAAUUUCAUAUAUUGCUCAACAUUUGUCUAGAAAAACAAUAUCUUGAGUUAUUCCACUCUACAUAACAAAGCUAAAUGUAUGACCAUUUGCAGUUUUUGGUUCUAUUAAAUGCUAAAAAUAACAUUCAGUUAUAAAGCAUGGUUAUAAUUAACCAUUUCAUUCCCAUAAAUUGCAAAAAUGUUCCAUUAAUAGAAGUAUUAGUAUUGGCAAUACUAUAAAAAUUAUUUUCUUAAAAAGCAUCUAAUUAUUCAUUAAUUGGUGGUUCCUCUAUGAACUGAUGCAUUUGUACACUUGGUAAGUUAUCAUUUAUUGUUCAUCAUUUGUUAAGAGAAACAAUAUCUGGAGUUAUCUCAUAUUACAUAACGAAGAUAAAUGUGACAUUUAAUAUUAAAUAAGACUUUGUGUUGUUUAUAUUUAACUCUUUUUUUAAAGAAUUGAUCAUGCGCUGUCAUUGCUAUUGAUAUAUUGUGAACAAAUCAAAAGUCUG